rnacentral:rRNA from 1 species
UGCCAGCCGCCGCGGUAACACGGGGGGCGCAAGCGUUAUUCGGAAUUAUUGGGCGUAAAGGGCGCGCAGGCGGUCUUGUCCGUCAGGUGUGAAAGCUCGGGGCUCAACCCCGGAAGUGCACUUGAAACAGCAAGACUUGAAUACGGGAGAGGAGAGAGGAAUUCCUGGUGUAGAGGUGAAAUUCGUAGAUAUCUGGAAGAACACCGGUGGCGAAGGCGAACUCCUGGCUAUAUACUGGCGCUGAGGCACGAAAGCGUGGGGAGCGAACAGGAUUAGAUA